rnacentral:rRNA from 1 species
AGCAGCCGCGGUAAUUCCAGCUCCAAUAGCGUAUAUUAAAGUUGUUGCAGUUAAAAAGCUCGUAGUCGAAUUUCGGGGUCAGUAGGUUGGUCGUGCCACUGGUAUGCACUGGUCUCACUGAUUCCUCCUUCCUGACGAACCGUAAUGCCAUUAAUUUGGUGUUGCGGGGAAUCUGGACUGUUACUUUGAAAAAAUUAGAGUGUUUAAAGCAGGCUAACGCUUGAAUACAUUAGCAUGGAAUAAUGAAAUAGGACGAUCGAUCCUAUUUUGUUGGUUUCUAGGAUUGACGUAAUGAUUAAUAGGGAUAGUUGGGGGCAUUAGUAUUCAAUUGUCAGAGGUGAAAUUCUUGGAUUUAUUGAAGACUAACUACUGCGAAAGCAUUUGCCAAGGAUGUUUUCAUUAAUCAAGAACGAAAGUUAGGGGAUCGAAGACGAUCAGAUACCGUCGUAGUCUUAACCAUAAACUAUGCCGACUAGGGAUCGGACGAUGUUAAUUUUUUAAUGUACUCAUUCGGCGCCUU